rnacentral:lncRNA from 1 species
GCACCCUCUUCAGUCUCGCGAAGAAACUCGGCGCAUGCACAGUGGAAACGCAGAAAGGAGGCACAGAGAUUUAGUCAGCACCACACGGUGGCUUGGUAAAAGUCAGAUACACAAGUUACGGGAUCUCUCAUAGCAUCCACCAAGGGCGACUGCUUCAGAACUGUGAGAUACAAAAGCAGUGUUCCUGGAGUCACAUCCACACCACACACUGAGAGGUAGGUGGUGUCCUGGAAUGAACUUCUGAGGAGCUAGAGUUUGCCCCGAUGGCAACAUGUUGGCUUGCCACACUUCAGGGCAUGACGUGUACAUGGUGGGAGAGGGCUGCACAGGAAGCAGAUGGCUCAAG